AGUGAACGCUGGCGGUAGGCCUAACACAUGCAAGUCGAACGGCAGCACAGUAAGAGCUUGCUCUUACGGGUGGCGAGUGGCGGACGGGUGGGGAAUACAUCGGAAUCUACUUUUUCGUGGGGGAUAACGUAGGGAAACUUACGCUAAUACCGCAUACGACCUACGGGUGAAAGCAGGGGAUCUUCGGACCUUUCGCGAUUGAAUGAGCCGAUGUCGGAUUAGCUAGUUGGCGGGGUAAAGGCCCACCAAGGCGACGAUCCGUAGCUGGUCUGAGAGGAUGAUCAGCCACACUGGAACUGAGACACGGUCCAGACUCCUACGGGAGGCAGCAGUGGGGAAUAUUGGACAAUGGGCGCAAGCCUGAUCCAGCCAUACCGCGUGGGUGAAGAAGGCCUUCGGGUUGUAAAGCCCUUUUGUUGGGAAAGAAAAGCAGCAGGUUAAUACCCCGCUGUUCUGACGGUACCCAAAGAAUAAGCACCGGCUAACUUCGUG
rnacentral:rRNA from 1 species